UACUUAUAUAUUUUUUUUCUUGGCAUAUAAUUUGUUAAAGGACCCCUGACACCAAAAUUGAAACCUCGAGAUGUGUGUGUUGUUUGACCUUCCUGUAUACGGGGCACAUCUGAC
rnacentral:lncRNA from 1 species